rnacentral:rRNA from 1 species
UAGGGAAUCUUCCACAAUGGACGCAAGUCUGAUGGAGCAACGCCGCGUGAGUGAAGAAGGUUUUCGGACCGUAAAGCUCUGUUGUUGGUGAAGAAGGAUAGAGGUAGUAACUGGCCUUUAUUUGACGGUAAUCAACCAGAAAGUCACGGCUAACUACGUGCCAGCAGCCGCGGUAAUACGUAGGUGGCAAGCGUUGUCCGGAUUUAUUGGGCG